UUUUUUAACGGAAAGAACCUUACCUACCCUUGACAUGUCCGGAAGCCUGGUGAGAGGGGGGUGUGCCCGAAAGGGAAUCGGAACACAGGUGCUGCAUGGCUGUCGUCAGCUCGUGUCGUGAGAUGUUGGGUUAAGUCCCGCAACGAGCGCAACCCUUGUCCCUAGUUGCUACGCAAGGGCACUUUAGGGAGACUGCCGGGGACAAACCGGAGGAAGGUGGGGAUGACGUCAAGUCCUCAUGGCCCUUAUGGGUAGGGGUUCACACGUCAUACAAUGGCCGGUACAGAGGGUUGCCAAAGCGCGAGCUGGAGCCAAUCCCCAUAAAAGCCGGUCGUAGUCCGGAUUGCAGUCUGCAACUCGACUCCAUGAAGUCGGAAUC
rnacentral:rRNA from 1 species